CGCACCUUGCACCCUUUGGUAUUCCGAAGGGUAUGCCUGUUUGAGUGUCAUUUAACUCUUCAACCUCCAGGCUUUAUUGUCCUUUGGAGGCUUGGAUGUGGGAGUCUGCGGGCUGCGACAAGCGGUCGGCUCUCCUGAAAUGCAUUAGCUGGGGUUAAGGUCCUUGCCUAUUGGUGUGAUAAUUAUCAUCGCCGACGGGUCCAAGGCUUUGAAAGCCCUGCUUCCAAUCGUCUUCGGACAGCUUCACUAUUGAAGCUUCUAUUGACCAUUGUGACCUCAAAUCAGGUAGGAUUACCCGCUGAACUUAA
rnacentral:misc_RNA from 1 species